UCUUAAUGUCUUUUCAGCUACCAAGAGAAGGCAAACGAGCCGCUUUUAGCUGCAACUUCAGCAUUUUUCCUUGUUUGGGUCUGCCGGAAGAAAUGAAAAUGGAACUUAUUCUAACUGUGAUCGUGGCAAUGAUUCUUGUCAAUUCAUGCACCUGUAUUCGUCCAAUGAACCUUGAAGGAAAUGCAAUGCAAGUUAAGGACAUGCGUAAACUGACUUCUAGUUCCACUGAUGGAAGGACUGCCCCUGCUGGUGAGGAAAUACAUCAUGUGUGUUCACUAGGAAACUAUCCAUGCCAAGGGAUGUUCAAGAGUUCCAAGCAAAGUACGGAAGGUGGAGGGAGUUAACUCGCCAUCAUAAAAAAAACUGAAGACGAGUGCUGGUGUAAGAUCAUGCAUGUUAUAGGGGCUUUCUAUGCGUAAUGUAUCCUGUUUCUACUCUGUGUGCACGUUUAUAUCUUGCCCUGUUUUCUCUUUUACUUGUAUCUUGCUCUGUAUGUAUAAAGUUAACAUAUUUAUCAAUAAAUAAAUUUCUUAUUAGCUCUAA